UGAACUGGUCAUGGCGGAUUCUCCACGGUCCCUGAUCGACGGGAGCACCUUGGCGGCUCUCUCCUUGGCCCGUGCCAGCGUGCAACACAUGUUCGGGGUGGUGGGCAUCCCCGUUACUGCCGUCGCCACCUGUGCAGUUGCUUCCGGCUUCACCUGGAAGACUGGUGGUCGCUGUUGAAUGGGAUUCUGGUUUUGGAUUCAGUGCCAUGGAAGUUGAGACACUAGUGAGAUAUCAGUUUCCAGUUGUCCUAAUCGUAUUCAACAAUGUGGUGGCGUAUAUGGGGGUGACAGAAGAUCCCCUGGUGAAAUUACUGGGCCAUACAAAGAUGACCCUGGCCCUACAUUUGUUCCACAUUCAGCAUACCAUUCCCUAAUUGAAGCUUUUGGUGGGAAAGGUUAUCGAGCUGGAACUCCUGAAGAACUCAACUCUGCACUUUCUGAAUCUUUUUCUGCUCGAAAACCAGCCGUUAUCAAUGUUAUAAUAGAUCCGUAUGCUGGUGCUGAAAGUGGGAGAUCGUAGCACAAAAAUUAAGCCACCUUCAACAUUCUUACACAAAAAAGCUCCAAAACAAGCGAGGAGUCAAUUUCAAGAAUUGGUCAACGCUGAUGGGUUGGUAUUCUAGAAACAAGUUGAGCAAGAGACGUACCGAUAUUGCCUCCUACAGAUCUACCCUGGAACAAGUCAUGACAACUACUGACAGAUCCCAGUGCUUAUAUUUAAUUGAUUUGUUUUGCUAGUCUAAUUCAGGGCAAGAUUCGAGACUCUAGA